GAAGAGUUUGAUCAUGGCUCAGAUUGAACGCUGGCGGCAGGCCUAACACAUGCAAGUCGAACGGUAACAGGAAGCAGCUUGCUGCUUUGCUGACGAGUGGCGGACGGGUGAGUAAUGUCUGGGAAACUGCCUGAUGGAGGGGGAUAACUACUGGAAACGGUGGCUAAUACCGCAUAACGUCGCAAGACCAAAGAGGGGGACCUUCGGGCCUCUUGCCAUCAGAUGUGCCCAGAUGGGAUUAGCUUGUUGGUGAGGUAACGGCUCACCAAGGCGACGAUCCCUAGCUGGUCUGAGAGGAUGACCAGCCACACUGGAACUGAGACACGGUCCAGACUCCUACGGGAGGCAGCAGUGGGGAAUAUUGCACAAUGGGCGCAAGCCUGAUGCAGCCAUGCCGCGUGUAUGAAGAAGGCCUUCGGGUUGUAAAGUACUUUCAGCGGGGAGGAAGGUGUUGUGGUUAAUAACCGCAGCAAUUGACGUUACCCGCAGAAGAAGCACCGGCUAACUCCGUGCCAGCAGCCGCGGUAAUACGGAGGGUGCAAGCGUUAAUCGGAAUUACUGGGCGUAAAGCGCACGCAGGCGGUCUGUCAAGUCGGAUGUGAAAUCCCCGGGCUCAACC
rnacentral:rRNA from 1 species